CCAAACUUCAGAUUCAUUAACACUCGAAUGAAUAUUGUUCACGACUUUAUUACAAAAAUCUACAAGGGAAAGGCGGAACAGACCUCCACAUUCAUAACCUUUACCAACAAAAAGUCCAUAUUUCAUAACAACUACUUUAUUAGACUCGAAUACCAACGUAAACCCUUCUCUACACAGAAGGGAGCCACUAACGAGGUUCUUCUUGAUGGCGG
rnacentral:lncRNA from 1 species